GAUUAANAANGUACCGAAAUGCGAUACUUGGUGUGAAUUGCAGAAUCCCGUGAACCAUCGAGUCUUUGAACGCAAGUUGCGCCCGAAGCCUUUAGGCCAAGGGCACGUCUGCCUGGGCGUCACGCAUCGCGUCGCCCCAAUCCAUGCUCGUUGAG
rnacentral:rRNA from 1 species